AGGACGAACGCUGGCGGCGUGCUUAACACAUGCAAGUCGAACGGAGUCGAUCUGGUGGCAACACCGGUGAAAACUCAGUGGCGAACGGGUGCGGAACACGUGAGCAACCUGCCCCAAAGACCGGGAUAACACCGGGAAACUGGUGCUAAUACCGGAUACCCCCACGAGCUCGCAUGGGCUUGUGAGGAAAGGGUUUCCGCUUUGGGAGGGGCUCGCGGCCUAUCAGCUUGUUGGUGAGGUAACGGCUCACCCAAGGCGACGACGGGUAGCUGGUCUGAGAGGACGAUCAGCCACACUGGGACUGAGACACGGCCCAGACUCCUACGGGAGGCAGCAGUGGGGAAUCUUGCGCAAUGGGCCGAAAGCCUGACGCAGCAACGCCGCGUGGGGGAUGAAGGCCUUCGGGUUGUAAACCCCUUUCAGUGGGAACGAAAUUGACGGUACCCACAGAAGAAGCCCCGGCCAACUACGUGCCAGCAGCCGC
rnacentral:rRNA from 1 species